UCGAUUAGAGUUUGAUCCUGGCUCAGAUUGAACGCUGGCGGCAGGCUUAACACAUGCAAGUCGAGCGGUAGCACAGGGGAGCUUGCUCCCUGGGUGACGAGCGGCGGACGGGUGAGUAAUGUCUGGGAAACUGCCUGAUGGAGGGGGAUAACUACUGGAAACGGUAGCUAAUACCGCAUAACGUCGCAAGAACAAAGAGGGGGACCUUCGGGCCCCUUGCCAUUCAAAGUGCCCAGAAGGGAUUAACUAAUAGGGGGGGUAAUGGCCCCCCUAAGACAACAACCCUCACUUGUUAAAAGAGGAUAACCACCCCCACGGGACUUAAAAUCCGACCCAACCUCUACGCGGAAUGCAUCAUUGGGAAUAAAUUCAAAAUGGGCGCGCACGCAUAUAGACAUCCAUGCUCGCGUGUGUAAAAAAACACUUAACUUGUUUAAAACCGCUCUUUACAGCAACACAAGAUGUGUAUAAUAAGUAUUGAUUCAUUACAUCAAAAUGUAAGUAUACGCAUGAAAAAAUAACACAUCCGUGCAUAACUGCCAAAAUAAAUCACCCCUUAUCGAAUAACAACGCCGACGGUUUAUUAAACCGCUCAAUUUUAUUAAACUUCAGACUACCAAACCAAUUCCACAACAAAAAUCCUAGAUUUUAUCCAUUACAAAAUGUAUCCACUCAUCCACUCCCUUAGCAUAUUAAUCAACACCCCAAUUAUUACACAAUUGUCCCCUCCCACACCCCAAUAUAUCAGGUACUUAACACCCCAUGCAUAA
rnacentral:rRNA from 1 species